rnacentral:rRNA from 1 species
CCCUUAGAUGUUCUGGGCCGCACGCGUGCUACACUGAGUGGAUCAGCGGGUCAGGUUGCGCGAAAGCGUUUCCUAAUCUUUAAAUCCGCUCGUGAUGGGGAUUGACGGUUGCAAUUUUCUGUCAUGAACGAGGAAUACCUUGUAAGCGCGGGUCAUCAUCCCGCGCUGAAUACGUCCCUGCCCUUUGUACACACCGCCCGUCGCUCCUACCGAUUGAGUGCUCAGGUGAGCCAUUCGGACUUUCAUCAUGCUGGUUUCCAGUUUUGAUGAAGGAAAGUCUUGCGAACCUUAUCAUUUAGAGGAAGGAGAAGUCGUAACA